GACGAACGCUGGCGGCGUGCUUAACACAUGCAAGUCGAACGGAAAGGGCCUGCUUUUGGGGGGUGCUCGAGUGGCGAACGGGUGAGUAACACGUGAGUAUCCUGCCCUUGACUUUGGGAUAACUUCAGGAAACUGGGGCUAAUACCUACUAGGAGCGCCUGCUUCAUGGUGGGGGUUGGAAAGGUUCGGCGGUUGGGGAUGGACUAGGGGCUUAUCAGCUGGUUGGUGGGGUAGUGGCUUACCAAGGCUUUGACGGGUAGCCGGCCUGGGAGGGUGACCGGCCACAUUGGGACUGAGAUAGGGCCCAGCCUGCAACGGGAGGCAGAAGUGGGGAUUAUUCGACAAUGGGCGGCAGCCUGAUGCAGCACCGUCGCGUGCGGGAUGACGGCUUUCGGGUUGUAAACCGCUUUCGCCUGUGACGAAGAGUGAGUGACGGUAAUGGGUAAAGAAGCAACGGCUAACUACGUG
rnacentral:rRNA from 1 species